rnacentral:rRNA from 1 species
CGCGUGUAUGAAGAAGGCCUUCGGGUUGUAAAGUACUUUCAGCAGUGAGGAAGGCGGGUGCGUUAAUAGCGCAUUCGUUUGACGUUAGCUGCAGAAGAAGCACCGGCUAACUCCGUGCCAGCAGCCGCGGUAAUACGGAGGGUGCGAGCGUUAAUCGGAAUUACUGGGCGUAAAGCGCAUGCAGGUGGUUUGUUAAGUCAGAUGUGAAAGCCCGGGGCUCAACCUCGGAAUUGCAUUUGAAACUGGCAGGCUAGAGUACUGUAGAGGGGGGUAGAAUUUCAGGUGUAGCGGUGAAAUGCGUAGAGAUCUGAAGGAAUACCGGUGGCGAAGGCGGCCCCCUGGACAGAUACUGACACUCAGAUGCGAAAGCGUGGGGAGCAAACAGGAUUAGAUACCCUGGUAGUCCACGCCGUCAACGAUGUCUACUUGGAGGUUGUGGCCUUGAGCCGUGGCUUUCGGAGCUAACGCGUUAAG